GUUAAACUGACUGAAAUUUCGAAAAAAUUAAAAUUUACGCUAUAAAGUGUCUGGGUUACCGUUUUAACAUUCGAAUGUUAUAAGUUUAAGUAAUCAAUAACUUUUCAUCUCUAAUCUCAGAUUUGACGAUUUCAGACGCAAUUUAGAUUCAUCGAAUCGGAUGUCGCCGACGUUUUUGUCCGAAUAUGAAGGGUCCGAUGAUAGGAAAUUAAUCAACAGCUACACGUUUCCCAUCAGCGAUCCGGAUGUAUUGGACGAUUUAGAGUACGCAGUAAGGAAAAACCCACGCACCAGAAAGAAAUUCGUCAGUUAUCUCCGACGCAUCAAAACGGUCGACGAAGCGCUGAGCGAUGGAAAGGUUUUUGGUCGAAUUUGCGAUGACUCCGCUAUAUUUCCCUAUUUCUGCUAUUCGACUACCAAAUUUUCUGCAGACGGUAGGAAACGUCGAGCUUUGCGUGAUUUCAUGGUUUUCGGAGCCUGUAUGAUUGAGGCCUGGUGCGACCACUCUGAUAUCGAUCCAUCGACUUUACCGAACAUAAUGAAACGUCUGAUCAAACGAAUUCAUGUUCGGAAUUACGUUCGUCUUGGUCGAAGUCAAAAGUCUGCAAAUGUACAGGAUGACAUUAAUACAGCAAGACUGUGCAAACGUUAAAUUCGUACAAAUAAUAAAUAUAAGCAACCAACAUCGGGUCACUAGUGUUUUUUUAUACCUAUAUUUAAAAAAUUCAACAGAAGAAUCAUUUUACUUAUAUUUUGUUUUGUAACGAUUUUUUUUGUAGGUCCCUCUUUCCAUCAUCGAGGCGAGGUUAUGCCACCCCACGGAUCCACCUUUUUCCCGCAAAUGCCAGCCCGAUUGACAGCCUUGAGCGAGCAGCGCGGCUCCGGCGUUGAUGGAUUCAGCUUUCCGCUCGAAACGGCCGACGAAAUCGAGCGCCUUGAAACGGCCGUUCGAGAGAGCACUAUCGUGUGGAAUCAAUAUGUUAACUUCCUGCGAGACAAAAGAACAACUGUCAUGGACAUACCGGAUAUGAUGAAGUUGCUUUUCAAAGAUCAAUCUCUGGACGGAUACAACUUCAAUGGUACCCAGGGCAAAAUACGCCAGAAAAGGCCUCUCAAGAUGUAUGCUAUUUUCAUCGACUGUAUGCUUGUUGCGUGGCCUGAGUUCACUCACGAGCAGAUGGUGACCAUUGUCGGCGAUGCUGUAAGGAAAACUCGCUAUCGCUAUUCGAAACGAUUAUACCGAGCCACGAAAAGGCUAGAAGAGGAACAGCAAAUAUUCGAACCACGGACGAUAUGGCUUGGAACCCCACAAAACAAGAAACAAUAGGGCAACGAUAGAAACCUUCAAUAAACUUGUUAUUCAGUAAACGACACGUGAAAUUCAUUUUAUUGCGAAGCAUUUAACAGUUGUUUUAAUUGGUUUUUUUUUUUCUGAAGUAAAAUGUACAUUCAUCCACUCUAUUCUAAUUCCUAUCAAUUCCGUUGCAGUGUUCAAACGGAUCCAAUUGUUCAAGCAGACAGCCCAACAAGGAGUCGACAAUUUCGCUUUCCCAAUCCCAGAUGCGGACACCAUCGAACGGCUCGAAAUAUCAGUGCGCAUGUUUCCCAAUGUUCGGAAGCAAUAUGUGGAGUAUCUGCGUCGAGUGAAAGAGCAAACGAAAGACAUCCCCAAAGCGUUCCCUGUCCUGUUCUCUGAUACAGCUUUGGAGCUGUAUAACUACAAUGGCACCGGACGAAAGGAGCGCCGAGCAAUGCGGGACUACCAGAUAUUCCACGACUGCAUGCUAGAAGCGUGGGCCGAAGAUGGUGUCAACGUGGACAGCCUUCAAGAGAGCAUCAACAUCGUCAUCAAACGGGCGGAUGGGCGAAAGCGAGCCAAACUGUUCAACUUUCGACGGAAAAUUUUCCAAAACGUUGGAACAAUGUUUUCAAAUUUUUCCGACAUACAGUCAUGAAGCACGGGACUGGCCCAAAAUAACGAAAGCAAUCUAUACAUUUAGUUUAUCCCGCCAUACUCACUGUGGAUUUCGAUUGAAUUUAUUUAUUUACCUAAUUUUAUUUAACAUUUCCUGAAAAUAAGAACGUUAUUUUUCGUUUUACCUACAAGGGCAGAAAAUAAAAUUUUAACCAGAUUUCAAAUGUUCAUUUACCGAUUUUUAUAUUUUCUGGAAAUUACCCAACAGCAAAGCCUAUUUGUUAUUACUUCUAAUAGUUUUUUCUUCAAUUCUAGCCUCGAUUCGUUUGGUGAGUCAAGAUAAGCUGCU